GACGAACGCUGGCGGCGUGCCUAAUACAUGCAAGUCGAACGCUUCUUUCCUCCCGAGUGCUUGCACUCAAUUGGAAAGAGGAGUGGCGGACGGGUGAGUAACACGUCGGUAACCUACCCAUCAGUGGGGGAUAACACUUGGAAACAGGUGCUAAUACCGCAUAACAGUUUAUGCCGCAUGGCAUAAGAGUGAAAGGCGCUUUCGGGUGUCGCUGAUGGAUGGACCCGCGGUGCAUUAGCUAGUUGGUGAGGUAACGGCUCACCAAGGCGACGAUGCAUAGCCGACCUGAGAGGGUGAUCAGCCACACUGGAACUGAGACACGGCCCAGACUCCUACGGGAGGCAGCAGUAGGGAAUCUUCGGCAAUGGACGAAAGUCUGACCGAGCAACGCCGCGUGAGUGAAGAAGGUCUUCGGAUCGUAAAACUCUGUUGUUAGGGAAGAACAAGGACGUUAGUAACUGAACGUGUCCUGACGGUAUCUAACCAGAAAGCCACGGCUAACUACGUG
rnacentral:rRNA from 1 species